GAGGAAGAAGAGCCCCCAAACCUUAACCUCCUUUAAUCCGCCAUAACUCUUUCGUCCGGGCUCCGAUUGCCGCACCGUUCGCGGCCACGCGUCCAGCGCGUUGAGCUCUACAUUUCUAUCAAAUCAAUUUCACCGGUUCGAUUUAGCUUACAGAGCUUACUGGGUUUGAGUUGCUACGCGUGUGGGAGCGAUGCAGGUCGAGAGGCUCCUUGCUAGGUGUCUGGAUCCUGGAAAGCGAAGUAGUCCUUGGGUGUAUUUUGGCUUCUGGCUGUAUAUAUGUAUAUAUAUGUUUAGCUUACUCUCCAAGUAACCUAUGUAUGCUGCUCCUCUUAGAGGUUGAGGGAGAGAUAGGAAUUAUUUUUAUAUUAUAGUGUAUUUUGGGAUAUUUUGAGAGCACUUAUAUAUGUUUAGAUAUAUAUAUAUACACCCUCCGGCCAGCCUUAGCUUCGCAGGCUGAGUCAGGGGCUAGUUAUGCUG